rnacentral:rRNA from 1 species
GGGGAAUAUUGCACAAUGGGGGAAACCCUGAUGCAGCGACGCCGCGUGGAGGAAGAAGGUCUUCGGAUUGUAAACUCCUGUUGUUGGGGAAGAUAAUGACGGUACCCAACAAGGAAGUGACGGCUAACUACGUGCCAGCAGCCGCGGUAAAACGUAGGUCACAAGCGUUGUCCGGAAUUACUGGGUGUAAAGGGAGCGCAGGCGGGAAGACAAGUUGGAAGUGAAAUCUAUGGGCUCAACCCAUAAACUGCUUUCAAAACUGUUUUUCUUGAGUAGUGCAGAGGUAGGCGGAAUUCCCGGUGUAGCGGUGGAAUGCGUAGAUAUCGGGAGGAACACCAGUGGCGAAGGCGGCCUACUGGGCACCAACUGACGCUGAGGCUCGAAAGUGUGGGUAGCAAACAGGAUUAGAUACCCUGGUAGUCCACACCGUAAACGAUGAUUACUAGGUGUUGGAGGAUUGACCCCUUCAGUGCCGCAGUUAACACAAUAAGUAAUCCACCUGGGGAGUACGACCGCAAGGUUGAAACUCAAAGGAAUUGACGGGGGCCCGCACAAGCAGUGGAGUAUGUGGUUUAAUUCGACGCAACGCGAAGAACCUUACCAAGUCUUGACAUCCCUUGACGAACAUAGAAAUAUGUUUUCUCUUCGGAGCAAGGAGACAGGUGGUGCAUGGUUGUCGUCAGCUCGUGUCGUGAGAUGUUGGGUUAAGUCCCGCAACGAGCGCAACCCUUAUGGUCAGUUACUACGCAAGAGGACUCUGACCAGACUGCCGUUGACAAAACGGAGGAAGGUGGGGAUGACGUCAAAUCAUCAUGCCCUUUAUGACUUGGGCUACACACGUACUACAAUGGCGUUAAACAAAGAGAAGCAAGACCGCGAGGUGGAGCAAAACUCAGAAACAACGUCCCAGUUCGGACUGCAGGCUGCAACUCGCCUGCACGAAGUCGGAAUUGCUAGUAAUCGUGGAUCAGCAUGCCACGGUGAAUACGUUCCCG